UACAGAGGGUGCGAGCGUUAAUCGGAGUUACUGGGCGUAAAGGGCGCGUAGGCGGUUGUUUAAGUGAGCUGUGAAAUCCCUGGGCUUAACCUAGGAACUGCAGCUCAUACUGGACAGCUAGAGUACUGUAGAGGGUAGUGGAAUUUCCGGUGUAGCGGUGAAAUGCGUAGAGAUCGGAAGGAACACCAGUGGCGAAGGCGGCUACCUGGACAGAUACUGACGCUGAGGCGCGAGAGCGUGGGGAGCAAACAGG
rnacentral:rRNA from 1 species